GAUGAACGCUGGCGGCGUGCCUAAUACAUGCAAGUCGAGCGAACAGACGAGGAGCUUGCUCCUCUGACGUUAGCGGCGGACGGGUGAGUAACACGUGGAUAACCUACCUAUAAGACUGGGAUAACUUCGGGAAACCGGAGCUAAUACCGGAUAACAUGUUGAACCGCAUGGUUCAACAGUGAAAGACGGUCUUGCUGUCACUUAUAGAUGGAUCCGCGCCGCAUUAGCUAGUUGGUAAGGUAACGGCUUACCAAGGCAACGAUGCGUAGCCGACCUGAGAGGGUGAUCGGCCACACUGGAACUGAGACACGGUCCAGACUCCUACGGGAGGCAGCAGUAGGGAAUCUUCCGCAAUGGGCGAAAGCCUGACGGAGCAACGCCGCGUGAGUGAAGAAGGUCUUCGGAUCGUAAAACUCUGUUAUUAGGGAAGAACAAAUGUGUAAGUAACUAUGCACGUCGUGACGGUACCUAAUCAGAAAGCCACGGCUAACUACG
rnacentral:rRNA from 1 species